UACGUAGGGUGCAAGCGUUGUCCGGAAUUAUUGGGCGUAAAGAGCUCGUAGGCGGUCUGUCGCGUCGGCUGUGAAAUCCCGGAGCUCAACUCCGGGUCUGCAGUCGAUACGGGCAAACUGGAGUACUGCAGGGGAGACUGGAAUUCCUGGUGUAGCGGUGAAAUGCGCAGAUAUCAGGAGGAACACCGGUGGCGAAGGCGGGUCUCUGGGCAGUAACUACGCUGAGGAGCGAAAAGCGUGGGGAGCGAAACAGG
rnacentral:rRNA from 1 species